UCCUACGGGAGGCAGCAGUGAGGAAUAUUGGUCAAUGGAGGCAACUCUGAACCAGCCAUGCCGCGUGAAGGAUGACGGCCCUAUGGGUUGUAAACUUCUUUUGAAUAGGAAGAAACUUAUCUACGUGUAGAUAACUGACGGUACUAUUAGAAUAAGGAUCGGCUAACUCCGUGCCAGCAGCCGCGGUAAUACGGAGGAUCCAAGCGUUAUCCGGAUUCAUUGGGUUUAAAGGGUCCGUAGGCGGGUCUUUAAGUCAGUGGUGAAAGCCGACAGCUCAACUGUCGAACUGCCAUUGAUACUGGAGACCUUGAGUACAAAUGAAGUAGGCGGAAUGAGUCAUGUAGCGGUGAAAUGCAUAGAUAUGACUCAGAACACCGAUUGCGAAGGCAGCUUACUAACAUGUAACUGACGCUGAGGGACGAAAGCGUGGGGAGCGAACAGGAUUAGAUACCCUGGUAGUCCACGCCGUAAACGAUCAUCACUCGCUGUUGGCGAUAUACUGUCAGCGGCCAAGCGAAAGUAUUAAGUGAUGCACCUGGGGAGUACGCCGGCAACGGUGAAACUCAAAGGAAUUGACGGA
rnacentral:rRNA from 1 species